GAGGAGCCUCUGACCAACUCAGCUUCUGAAAAAAAUCCAAACCUGUCCCUGCAGUUUCGGCUGUGCUGUUUCCGGAGUCAAGUAUUGAGGUUGAAGGAGGCUGAUUAGGCCUGGUCUGUGGCAGAAUGGUGCCCAAGCAGGGACCUCUGGACAGUCUGGGAUGUCUUUGGCAUCUUCAUCUGCAUACCUUCUUUUGCUGCAGGAACACUCUGCUUGGACAGAUGGCAUAUUUGGACACAUUCACAGGAUGACAUGUCAUGCAAUAUUAAAAUGAAAAGUGACUCUAUGUGCUGGUCUAAGAAGAUCUUGAAGAUAGAGAUGACAGACCACCUGGACAAUGCUUCAUGAUCGUUUUUGUUAAAGGACUGUCACCCUGAAUUGGGAGGCUCCUGGCACUUUGCCCUUCUGCUUGUUGACAUCCCCUGAAGGAGGAGUUCUCAGGACACAUCAGGUGAAUUCUAGCCAUAACAUCAGGCUCCAAAGAGUUUUCUAGCUAAUAAUGUCCACUAUUGAAGACGUUUCGUUCUUGUCUAUUUGCUGGAUGCCUGGGUUAGCAGAAGCUUGUCUAAGGAGUCACUGCCUGUGUUGAAGUGGGCUCUGCAGUGAAAUAGCUGUUGGGAAGUUACCCAAGCUCCUGUAAGUAACCUCACACUGGACUCCUUAGCAACCCCGAAGGAAGCUCAGUAGAUCCUCAAGUUGAAUGUCUGCACAGUUGGUACUUCAGUCUGCCAUUAAGUUCUAUUUCUGGUGGGUGUGUACGUGUGUGCGUACGUGUGUGUGUGUGUGUGUGUGUGUGUGUGUGUGUGUGUGUGUUACAAAUCUGUUGUUCUUCAGGGAUAACUUCCCCCUUUUGUGUCUCAGGGUGCUCAGUUGGGAGUUCCCUAAUCCUUCCCUCUUCUUACACUUAGCUGCCUGGAGUCAUGGCCUCAGCCAUGGCCUUGUGGAUAUUUUCUAGCUCACAUAAACAAUCCUGAGAGAACAUUCGUGGUCGUAACAGCAAGAAAGUUUAUGGGAAAAGAGGACACUGUGACUGUUGGUUCCAGGAGCUGAAGAUUGCCACCUGACCUUCAGAGAGCCCCCAGUCUCUCCCACUCCCCACCCCCCAUCCCUUGGAGCCUCCUCUUGCUUAUGCUUAUAUUGCCACUCCUGAAUAAAGUUUUCAGAGCUUGAUCAGUA
rnacentral:lncRNA from 1 species